UCACUCCCGUCAUGCGAUCUAUCUGUAAUGACUUUCAGGACGAUCGAGAGUUGUAGCUGGCCCCUUCCCGGGCAUGUGCACGCCUCUUUCGAGAAAUCCAUCAAACCCCUGUGCACCUUUGCGUGAGUGGUCCCGGGCAACCGGGGGCCCUCGCGUCUUUUUUCUCACAAACCCCUUUGUAUGUCUUUAAAAGAAUGUACUACUCGAUGUGAUAAAAAAACAUCUAAUACAACUUUCAACAACGGAUCUCUUGGCUCUCGCAUCGAUGAAGAACGCAGCGAAAUGCGAUAAGUAAUGUGAAUUGCAGAAUUCAGUGAAUCAUCGAAUCUUUGAACGCACCUUGCGCCCUUUGGUAUUCCGAAGGGCACACCUGUUUGAGUGUCGUGAAAUUCUCAACCCCUCCUCGCUUUGUUGCGACGCGUUGGGGCUUGGACUUGGAGGUUCUUGCUGGUCUCCGCCGGCUCCUCUCAAAUGCAUUAGUACGCCUCGUUGCGAUGUGGCUGCCUCGGUGUGAUAAUUAUCUACGCCGUGUUGUGGUGCAUUGCUUUCCUUCGUGCUUCAAACCGUCCGUGAAGGACACUUUUGAAACUUGACCUCAAAUCAGGUGGGACUACCCGCUGAACUUAAGCAUAUCAAUAAGCGGAGGAA
rnacentral:rRNA from 1 species